rnacentral:rRNA from 1 species
GACGAACGCUGGCGGCGUGCCUAAUACAUGCAAGUAGAACGCAGUUUCUAACGGUUGAGUAACGCGUAGGUAACCUUCCUCAUAUCGGGGGAUAACUAUUGGAAACGAUAGCUAAUACCACAUACUGUGAGAUGGACCUGCGUUGUAUUAGCUAGUUGGUAAGGAAAAGGCUCAACAAGGCGACGAUACAAAGCCUACCUGAGAGGUGGAACGGCAACACUGGGAAUAAGAAACGGCCCAGACUCAAACGAGAGGCAGAAGGAGGGAAUCUUCGGCAUUAGACGGGAGUCUGACCGAGCACCGCCGCGUGAGUGAAGAAGAUUUGCGAAUAGUAGAGCUAUGUUGUUAGAGAAGCGGUAACUAACCGGAAGAGGACGGCUAACUACGUGCCAGCAGCCGCGGUAAUUC